UACGAAGGGGGCUAGCGUUGCUCGGAAUCACUGGGCGUAAAGCGCACGUAGGCGGCUUUUUAAGUCAGGGGUGAAAUCCUGGAGCUCAACUCCAGAACUGCCUUUGAUACUGGGAAGCUUGAGUCCGGGAGAGGUGAGUGGAACUCCGAGUGUAGAGGUGAAAUUCGUAGAUAUUCGGAAGAACACCAGUGGCGAAGGCGGCUCACUGGUCCGGUACUGACGCUGAGGUGCGAAAGCGUGGGGAGCAAACAGG
rnacentral:rRNA from 1 species